AGCCAGGAGCCUGUGGUGGGGGUGAGGAGCUCUGAGCAUCAGCCCUCCAAGGGUCUGAACUGUGCAUUCAUGCCUUGGCAGUACCAAGCCCACCAGAGCCAACCCCCGAGAGCAUUAGCAACAAUCAAAAGUGCCCAGGCCCUAAGGACUGGUGACAUACUGAUAUAUGUCACUGAUGACAUAUGACCCACUCUCUAAGUGAUGUUAGGGGCACUGCUGAGGUGGUGUGGGCAGGAGGCUGGGGAUACAGCGUCCGUCAGAGGAGCACGGGAUUGUCUCUACUGUCCUGAGAAGUCCCAGAGAGGACUUAUCGUGCUGGAUGGAAUCUGCACAGAGACUCUGUGGUGCCCUCUUCCUUGGCCUUGACUUCUACCCUGGCCAGUGCGGAUGAGGACAGGAAAGGAGCUCCUGGACUCUUCUGGGUCCGGAGUGAGAGAGAGAUGCAGACUGGAGAUCCCGGGAAUUGGAGGAACCGAACAAUCUGCCUUGGAUGGCACGGAGAGUCGGGCUCGUACAGGUCAGAAGUAAAUUGAGCAAGAGAAAGGAAAGGUACCAGCAGCAGAGAAAUGCCUUUGCUGAUGCUGGCAAGCCAGGAGAUGCUGACGUGCCAGAUGUGAUGAUGUUAUGCACAUCUGUUCUCCCAGGCCCUUGGGGCCACGGCUGGGAAGGGAUUAUUCAUCAUUCAUCACAGUCCACGAACAGACUGCCCUGUGUGGCGAACAUACCAAGAGGUCCUAAGCCAGAGGAGAAGAGUUCAACGGUAACUCGGACACCAAGAUUUCUUCAGUUUAGCCAAAUAGUUGUUUUGGCAACUACUUCCACAAGUGCCAAGUAUGAUCACAACUCAUACUUUCAAGAGGAGGAGACAGACCACAACUCAAGAUACCAAGGUUAUAACUGGAUUUCUUCCAUUAACUUUUCUGGACAUUCUAGGUCUUAAUUUCCCCAUUUCUCACAUGGACAGUAAAUGAGUAACUCCCACAAUAGAGGUUCAUCACACUGGCAUGAAUAGCCUCAAAUGUAAUUAAUAAUAAUACACUAACAGAGCAAUGGUGAGAUGAUGUUUGAUGUAUCUGGGGAUAAAAGGUACCAUAUUUCAUUUUCCAUGAACCAGAAAACAUAAUUAAGCAUUCAUACCGUAAGUGGGUUCUUUUUCUUUCUUACUUUAUUAAAGGUAUAUGGUAAACAUCGGACCUGGGUUCACAAGCCAUCUCCUGCUAUUUUCUCACUCUAUGACCUUGGGAAAGUCAUUUGGCCUCUUUGGACCUUGGUUUCUCUACCUGCCGUAGUGGGCUAAAUUGCAUUCCCCCCCAAAAUAUGCCCACCUCAGAAUGGGACCUUAUUUGGGAAUAGGG